GGUUGUGGCUCAGCGGUAGAGCACUCACCUAGCAGGUGAAAGGCCCUGGGUUCGAUCCUCAGCACCA
rnacentral:tRNA from 1 species